rnacentral:rRNA from 1 species
GCGGAGGAAAAGGAAUUAACAAAGAUUCCCCCAGUAACGGCGAGUGAAGUGGGAUUUAGCCCAGCACCGAAUCCUAGCGGCCGAUGUGUCGCGUGGACCUGUGGUGUUAGGGGCCCCGGACUUCGUCCUGCUUGUGGCGCCUCAGUUUCAUUGAAAGGGCUUUUGCUCCAGAGCGGGUGUCAGACCCUUGUGUAGCGCACGAGCGGAUGAAGUUCUCAGGGGCCCCACGAGUCGGGUUGUUUGAGAGUGCAGCCCAAAGACGGUGGUAAGCUCCAUCGAAGGCUAAACACUGCCACGAGUCCGAUAGCGAACAAGUACCGUGAGGGAACGUUGAAAAGGACUUCGAAGAGAGAGUUCAAGAGUACGUGAAACCGCCUAAAGGGAAACGAGUGGCUCCGCAUUGUCGGCCUGCGGUGUUCAUUUCGCUCGCUUGAGCGACCGGUCGUUCGAUGGUCUUGCUUCUCGCUUGAUCUCGGUGCGAUGCUGGUCACUCGCCUGGCGAGCGUGUGCACUUGCCGCGAGGCAGGGCGUCAUGAUCGCUUCUAUCUGGUGCGCGACCGUCGGUGGAGUUGGCGUGGGCGAUCGUCUCUUCGUGGGACAUUCGACUUGCGCGGCCUGCCUUCCCGCGUGUCUGGGAGCGUGUAACGAUCGGCUCGACUUCGUCGGUUGCCGUCUUCGCUGCUUAGACCAAUCGUCGGUUCGCAUUCGUGCGACCGUGCGGUGGUCCUGGCUCGGAGCUAGGCGAUUGGCGUGCAGGGCCUUGCAUCGGUGGCGAUUG